UGGGGGAUAUUGCACAAUGGGGGGAACCCUGAUGCAGCGACGCCGCGUGAGUGAAGAAGUAUUUCGGUAUGUAAAGCUCUAUCAGCAGGGAAGAUAAUGACAGUACCUGAAUAAGAAGCCCCGGCUAACUACGUGCCAGCAGCCGCGGUAAUACGUAGGGGGCAAGCGUUAUCCGGAUUUACUGGGUGUAAAGGGAGCGUAGACGGAAUGGCAAGUCUGAAGUGAAAUGCCCGGGCUCAACCCGGGAACUGCUUUGGAAACUGUCGAUCUGGAGUGUUGGAGAGGUAAGUGGAAUUCCUGGUGUAGCGGUGAAAUGCGUAGAGAUCAGGAAGAACACCGGAGGCGAAGGCGGCUUACUGGACAAAGACUGACGUUGAGGCUCGAAAGCGUGGGAAGCAAACA
rnacentral:rRNA from 1 species